rnacentral:rRNA from 1 species
AUUGAACGCUGGCGGCAGGCCUAACACAUGCAAGUCGAGCGGAGCGGCGGACGGGUGAGGAAGGCCUAGGAAUCUGACUGGUAGUGGGGGAUGGCGUCCGGGAACGGAAGCUAAUACCGCAUACUAGCAGAUGAGCCUUGGUCGGAUUAGCUAGUUGGUGGGGUAAAGGCCUACCAAGGCGACGAUCCGUAACUGGUCUGAGAGGAUGAUCAGUCACACUGGAACUGAUACACGGUCCAGACUCCUACGGGAGGCAGCAGUGGGGAAUAUUGGACAAUGGGCGCAAGCCUGAUCCAGCCAUGCCGCGUGUGUGAAGAAGGUCUUCGGAUUGUAAAGCACUUUAAGUUGGGAGGCGUUACCCACAGAAUAAGCACCGGCUAACUUCGUGCCAGCAGCCGCGGUAAUAC